CAGUGGAGGAGAAAGCAUGUAGAACACACUAAGAGCUUGCUGCAACAGUAUUAAGAUUGGUAAAAUCUUAAUACACAUAGAGAAAAAUGAUGGUGUCAGUUGAUAUAUGAGAAGUUACCAAAAGAUAUCGCAAGCCUGACAUGUCUUCCUCCUUGACCCUGUUAUAGCUUCAGUGAAUGCUAUAUCUAAUAUCUUUGCUUAUCAGCAAGGGAGUUCCAGAAUCACAUAUUAUCUUUCUUAACGUCAUAGCAGCACCUCAAGGGAUUCAAGGGCUCUGCAAGAAACAUCCAAUGGUAAAGAUUAUGACUUCAGAAAUCAAUGCCUCACUCACUGAGGACUCGCGUGUGAUUCCAGGUCUGGGAGAAUUCGCAGACCAUUACUUUGGUACAGACAACUCAAAAAGUAUCAAGAAUAUCCAGGAAUGCCGAUUACUUCGUUCCAUUUUUCUGAUUUAAAGACGGUUGCUUGAGAGCUCAUGGCUGUGGACUUCGUUAGAAAACACCCGACAUCCCUUCGUGAAAGAGUCAUAACACUCCAAAAACAGCGAAGAAUGAAGGUCUCAACGGGGCUUUCACAGUUAGCCAAGACAAGGUAAGGAUCUAUUACAACAUUCAAAAGAAGUGGACAAGUUGCAGGUCAUGUUCCCAAUCUCUAUAAUUAAAGUUAAGAUGAUAAGGUUCCAUAUUGCACCACAUUUUUGGACACAGCUCAUCUCGAAAAAGCUGCAAGACUGGCUAGGAAAAAUAUUGAGGGACUCAAAAAAGUUCUCACCUCCUAACCUCGUUUUUAACUGCAGGUCACUGUCGCCAUAUCCACCUGCACACGUAGCUCCGCAGAGAAGUGGGGAAUCUAGAAGUCUUCAAGAUUGUAGUGUUCAAACUUCUCAGAACCAGGUAGACUAUAAAACUGUUAAAUGCAAAUAAUUUUCCUGCAAAUCAAGGUGCUACCUCUCAAACAAUUAUUACCAUUUACGUCAUUUAACCCAAAUUUCUCUUCCACAUCCUCUUAUUAUUCAUAGCUAAAGCUAAAGAAAACAGAGCUCUCAGGAUUCAACUUAUAAAAUUUAAACAUCAGCAAAGUAUGGCAAAAAGUAAUAUAUUCUCCUCUCCAACCAGAUACUCAUUAUAACACAUGCAUAAAUUAUACUUUUUCGUGCAUAUGCACGGAGCAAAUCACAGUGUAUUUUUUGUGUGGCAAAUAAAUAAUGCUAUUAUUUCUAACAGAGCCAAACGCACCGUCCAUGAACAGCAGGUUCACAUAUUCAACCUUAAUACGUCCUCCUCUAUUCAGCUAACAUAAAACACUAACUAAUCUCUGGCUUCCUUACUUGCAACAGGACCACUUCAACCACGUACAAAGAACAUAGGAACCAGAAAAAGCAACAGCUCCAGCAAUUGAGAUUUGGUAACAUGUCCUAUAUCUAAUACCUCAGUGAGGACAGGUGAAGCAGUAAGGAUAGUCAACCAGCAUGCCAAUAGAAGGUUCUACAUAUGUUGUAACAAGGAAGUUGAGCUCCUACCACUCCGCGAACUUCCUUCACCUUUGAAAAAGCUCCUUGACGCACCAAUGUUCCGAGUUUUAAUACGUGUUGCGAAUGGAAUGAUUGCUUUUACUUCAUCGGGUGCUCAUGUCGAUCAUACUAUCACUGGAAAACCUGGCCAUUCAUUUACCGAAUACAUGGUCAAAACCAACACCGUAUCGGUUCACUCUUGUAUGUUGACGAAGAACCACCACAGUAUCUCCAGCUAUAUAUUUUUAUACUGUAAAUAAAAUAGGAAAAGAAGAAAGCCUUAUGAAAAGGAACAUCAACUAUAAACUUAGACAACCAAGUUUCACAUUUUCCUUCGAUUUAUAUCUCAGUUAUCCCAUCUUCGGUUUAAUUAUUUAUAAAUAAAUAUUUAAGUAAA